AUGCUGUGAUGGAGACACUUUCUCAAUAAUUCCUUAAACUGCUCUCAUGCGUCAUCUAAUGACUCCCCAUUAGUCUGGAAGAAGUUAUUAAUCUCUCCUCUCAACCU